UCCUCUCUGAACAUACAACACUCUCAUUUCCUCAGUGCAAAGAAGCUCUCUGACAAUGCCUUCUUCCUUCUAGGGCUUCUCCUCUCUUCGCCGGUUACGAUCUCUCCAGCUCUGUUAGGGAUUUUUGGGUCUUCCGUUGAAGCAUUAGAUCUCAGGUCUGUGCGGGGAUGAUUGGCGACGAUCUCAGGUCUUCUUUCGCUUACUUCUAUUAAGAUCUCAGAUCUCAGAAAAACCUUGGAAUAGAAGAAAAACCUUGCCAUCGAUGUGUUGUUGACUGGGAUUAGACUCUUGCUUGCCGGUUGCGGCCUUGCCUUCAAUUACAGGGCAAGCAAGCAACUUGUGUGGAUCACGCUCAUGCAACACAUGAAAUUUAGCUUCAUUUCGAUACUGUGUUUGAAAGUUCAGUGCAUGCCCAUAUUUCCUUUUCACAAAUAUCAAAAUUAUUGGCUAACCCAUCUUCAUAUUCCCUUAAAAAAAGGAAAAAAGUUCUCCUAAGUUAUAAUACAGACCUAUAAUGGAUAAGGAAAGAGGGUGUUUUUAGUAUGGAAGUGAUUUGAAUUAUUUGUGUGCUUAUACAGGCAGAGAGCUCACUGAACUUUUAUUCAUUAUUAUUGAUUGAUGUUUGUGUGCCUUGUAAGGCUGGCAUCUCAUUAUUCAAACUAUUAGUUUAUCCGCCUCUUUUGCCUAGUUAAAUAGUUACUUUAUUUAGCAUAUAAUAAUUAUCUAUAGUAGUAGAACUACAAUUACAACCAAGUUGCCUGCAUGUUCAAUGGCUCAAAUUGAUUAAUCAUUUCAAAAAAUGUUAGGAGAUAAUAGUUUUAGUGUAAAAUAGAAGAUAAUUGGCUAAUAUUAAUUCAAAUGUAAAGUAAAAACAAAGAAAAAUUAUUAGUCUAGUCAUCCAACAUUUUUUUAUGUGACUUACUCUUUUUUCCUUUUGCUAUUGCUUCUAUUAAUACGUGGACUGUGGUUCUGGAAAAUGAAAACUUGGUAAGAGUUAGAACAAAAUUGAUUAUGGAUGGUCGUGGUUUAUAUGUAAAAGAAGA